CCUACGGGGGGCAGCAGUGAGGAAUAUUGGUCAAUGGACGAGAGUCUGAACCAGCCAAGUAACGUGAAGGAUGACUGCCCUAUGGGUUGUAAACUUCUUUUAUAUGGGAAUAAAACGUUCCACGUGUGGGAUUUUGUAUGUACCAUAUGAAUAAGGAUCGGCUAACUCCGUGCCAGCAGCCGCGGUAAUACGGAGGAUCCGAGCGUUAUCCGGAUUUAUUGGGUUUAAAGGGAGCGUAGGUGGAUUGUUAAGUCAGUUGUGAAAGUUUGCGGCUCAACCGUAAAAUUGCAGUUGAAACUGGCAGUCUUGAGUACAGUAGAGGUGGGCGGAAUUCGUGGUGUAGCGGUGAAAUGCUUAGAUAUCACGAAGAACUCCGAUUGCGAAGGCAGUUCACUGGACUGCAACUGACACUGAGGCUCGAAAGUGUGGGUAUCAAACAGGAUUAGAUACCCCAGUAGUC
rnacentral:rRNA from 1 species